AAAACUUCUCGAGCAGAGAGGGCGGGAGAAGAGGAGUAGAUGAGGCGGCAAAAGACCGACUCACAAUCUUCGUUUCUUGAUGUAGAUCUUCUCGAACAGAGAGGGCGGGAGUAGAGGGGUCGAUGAGGGGGCAAAGCCGCAAAAGACCUUCGUUUCUUGAUGUAGAACUUCUGGAGCAGAGAGGGCGGGAGAAGAGGAGUCGAUGAAGCGGCAAAAGACCUUCGUUUCUUGAUGUAGAACUUCUGGAGCGGAGAGGGCGUGGGAAGAGGAGUCGAUGAGGCGGAGCUUGAAUCCCAGAAUAUGUUUGUUUCAACUUUCAAGUGGUAAUGAAGACAAGUUUGGAAGUUAUGUCCUUAAGCAGCAACCAUUAUGACAACGGUUAUGAGAAUGCCAUAUUUUAGGGUGUAUGGAAUGGACAAGGCACUGAUCACCAAAUAAAGGGGUUGCUUUAAUGCCAUAUCUUAGUGUGUAUGGAAUGGAUAAGGCACUGAGCACCAAAUAAAGGGUUUGCUUUUUUUAGUUAUAGGUGGUUGAACUUUAUGUACUCUUACGGUCUUACCUUCUUCAAAGUGGAGUCUUCCUCCAAUAAUGCUCAGUAACUGCAAAAGAAAAAAUGAGUGGCCUCUCUAGCACAGGAGGCCGUCCUAAUAUGUGAUCACCAUUUUGCACAAUUUUUGUGCCAUAGAAUAGCAUGCGGCUAAAUUUCUGCCUCAUCUGUUCAACAUUUUCUGUCUAUCAAGUUAUUGAGGAUUAUUGGAAUCUUUCUCUCUUUCCUUCGUAUCUGGUAAAAUUUCAAUACUGGAUGAUCUUUAGACCGAAAAAGAAAUUUUCUACUUGUCAAGCGGUUGCACUUAUUUAAUAAUAGCUCUAAAAGCCAUGAAAGUGACUCAAAAUCCACUUUGUGGCUCUAUGUUGGUCACUUGUUUUCCAUUUUUUAGGAGAAACAUGGAGAAGCCACACUAGAUUAUCUCCCAAGAUUUUGAGUUUGCUGUAGUAUGUUACUGUAAAGUGUAAACUGUAUUUCUUUUUGGACUAUUAUGGUUCACAUGUAUGAGAGCCUUUUUCUG